AGGCAUUUGCUUAUUGCACCACAUGUGUUUUUUAUUGAACAAAUUUCUUUGGUGGCGGGAGCAAUCCUACCGCCAGAGGUUAUAACUAAACCAAACUUUUUAUUUACAGUCAAACUUGAUUUAUUAUUACAAUAGUCAAAACUUUCAACAACGGAUCUCUUGGUUCUCGCAUCGAUGAAGAACGCAGCGAAAUGCGAUACGUAAUAUGAAUUGCAGAUAUUCGUGAAUCAUCGAAUCUUUGAACGCACAUUGCGCCCUUUGGUAUUCCAAAGGGCAUGCCUGUUUGAGCGUCAUUUCUCCCUCAAACCCCCGGGUUUGGUGUUGAGCAAUACGCUAGGUUUGUUUGAAAGAAUUUAACGUGGAAACUUAUUUUAAGCGACUUAGGUUUAUCCAAAAACGCUUAUUUUGCUAGUGGCCACCACAAUUUAUUUCAUAACUUUGACCUCAAAUCAGGUAGGACUACCCGCUGAACUUAAGCAUAUCAAA
rnacentral:rRNA from 1 species